rnacentral:rRNA from 1 species
CGGGGGAGCGAAGCGUUGUUCGGAGUUACUGGGCGUAAAGGGCGCGUAGGCGGCCAGCACAAGUCAGUUGUGAAAUCUCCGGGCUUAACUCGGAAAGGUCAACUGAUACUGUGCGGCUAGAGUGCAGAAGGGGCAACUGGAAUUCUCGGUGUAGCGGUGAAAUGCGUAGAUAUCGAGAGGAACACCUGCGGCGAAGGCGGGUUGCUGGGCUGACACUGACGCUGAUGCGCGAAAGCCAGGGGAGCGAACGGGAUUAGAUACCCCGGUAGUCCUGGCCUUAAACGAUGGAUGCUUGGUGUCUGGAGUUUUAUAGUCUCCGGGUGCCGUAGCUAACGCGUUAAGCAUCCCGCCUGGGGAGUACGGUCGCAAGACUG